rnacentral:rRNA from 1 species
UACGUAGGGGGCAAGCGUUGUCCGGAAUCAUUGGGCGUAAAGAGCGCGUAGGCGGCCCAGUAAGUCCGCUCUGAAAGUCAGGGGCUCAACCCCUGGAUGCGGGUGGAUACUGCUGGGCUAGAGUCCGGAAGAGGUGAGUGGAAUUCCUGGUGUAGCAGUGAAAUGCGUAGAUAUCAGGAGGAACACCGAUGGCGAAGGCAGGUCUCUGGGCUGACACUGACGCUCAUGCACGAAAGCGUGGGGAGCAACAGG